GUCCACGCCGUAAACGAUGGAUACUAGCUGUUGGGUUGCAAGACUCAGUGGCUAAGCGAAAGUGAUAAGUAUCCCACCUGGGGAGUACGUUCGCAAGAAUGAAACUCAAAGGAAUUGACGGGGGCCCGCACAAGCGGUGGAGCAUGUGGUUUAAUUCGAUGAUACGCGAGGAACCUUACCAAGGCUUAAAUGUAGAUUGACAGGUUUGGAAACAGACUUUCCUUCGGGCAAUUUACAAGGUGCUGCAUGGUUGUCGU
rnacentral:rRNA from 1 species